rnacentral:tRNA from 1 species
GCAGGGGUACCCAAGUGGUCAAAGGGGCUAGGCUUAGGACCUAGUGGCUUAGUGCCUUCGGGGGUUCGAAAUCAGCUUUUUAGAAAAAAGCUGCACCAAAAAAUCAAAAGGGUCGGAAAUCCUCCCCCCUGCA